GGUAACACACAAAUGUUAAAAACACCUCCAGCUCAUGUUCCAUACUGUGAGAGAGCUGGCUUUAGGAAAGGGUUGCUGCAAUUUCACACACAUUUUCUCUUCUGGGUGAUCUCUUUUGUCCUCUGAUGAAACAUUUCUUUCUGAUCGGAGUGUUCUUUUCCUAGAUGACAGAUUUCCAUCCAACCAGUAGUUUCAGUGAGCCUUUCUAGUGGCUCAUAAUGGAUCAGGAGUUCACUGAAACACCUCAUAUUGGCUUUCCCCUUUAAUUUGGCACCACUCUACACGUAUUUAUUGAUCGGACUGUGAAGAUCUGGCGUGCACGUGGUGGACUGGAUGGCACCUUGGAAGUGGUUGACAGUGUAGACGAGGUUGCAAGUAACUGAACAUGGUACCACUUGCCUGGUUUGACUCUAGAAGGACGUAAAGGCACUCCUGCCCUGCACUUUGACCCCUUAACUAUCAAGCCUAAACGACACACCUUCCAUAUCAUGUGACGUUCAUGACUGAGCCAACAGGAAACGGUAAUCUCAUCACAGUGGAAGCUAACGCAUUAGUUCUUUUCUUUGACUCUGUAUGCUUAGAGGAUUUAGUUAACUGUAUUGUUAAUGACUUCUAUUUCUCUCUUCUUGCGCUUUAGACGGUUUGUCAUUAUUGUCAUCGUUAUAAGAACUUAUAUUCACAAGAUACUAUAGGAUGUGGUGAACACACAGUAGACACUAUCAGUGCAGCUCGGCUUACAUGCAGCACAGUGCAACGAUACAACACAGGCAACCCUGCCAAAAAAGGAUGUGGUGUUUUGUUGUAAGAGUACAGAAAUACAUACGUGCAGCAGAGCUAAUGGGUUGGUAGCUGGUCUUCACAACCCACUUCUCUACUUUGUUGAGAUUGUUUCUCUGCACUUGAAACAGAAGUGUUAUUCCAUCAGUCCUGUUUCCAAGAGCAAGAAAAGUGGCUGUGUGAGAAAGAAAUCAUUCUACCCCUUAACAUCCUGCUCUUGCUUCUGUGCUCCCUUCAGUUUCUGCAGCAGCUUUAGAUCAGUGACCAAAAAUGUGUAACGUGUUGUUAUUGCUGUCCUCAGCUGGACUUGUAAACAGAACACACUUUAGAGUAGCUAAAGUUUGACGUUUAGGGAAAUAAGCUCACUUGCUUUAUACACUGCAUGUCUUUUGACUGUGGGAGGAAUCCAGAGUACCUGGAUUCAAACCCAGGACCCUUCUGCUGAGAGGCAGCAGAAGGGUCCUGGGUUUUCAGGUACAACCCAGAGCUUGAACGGCAGUUUAGUGAAGGAGUCUUCAGUGUCAAGUCAAGAAGCAUGAUCAUCAUUACCCUUCAGUCAUAAAAGGCGGAUGGGGUACUGUUGUCACCCUGCCAGAGGGGCACCAUGGACAGCCAUUAUAACUUCAGAACAAGAUAACAUAGGAUUUCAAAUUGAUACCAUACGUGUAGCUACUGAAAAUCUAGUUGAAAUCGAGUUGAAAUCUAGUUGACAAGGAUUUUGAAAUUUAUACAAUAGGUGCAUCUACUGGAAGUCUGUAGGGUAACUUUAUUCUGCAUUCACUGGGCUGUGCGCUCCAAGAAUUCAUCUUCUGGGGAUCAGGCUGUACAUCCUGAAGGGUCUGAGGAACAAGACUGAGUAGAAACAAACCAAACUUAAAGAAUCUUUGCUCACCAACUCAACAACUCCCAUACUCACAAGGUUUUAAACUUAUAAUGCUAAGAUUUUGACAUAGUGGAGGCAGGUGUGCAAGUGGUCAGGAAAGGUUUUAUAAUAAUGACAGCCAUUUGAAGACCUAUGAGGGACAAUUGAGCAAAUACAGUAAAAAUCUUGAAUUUAUCUGGUAAGUAGUACAGUGGUUAACACAGGCCCCUCACAGGAAUCUGGAAGCUGACUGAGGCCUCUGUGUCCCUGUUCCUGUGUGGAUUGUUUCUGGGUUUCUGCACCCUCCCACAGCUUAAAGACAUGCACGAUGAAUGAAAUUGGGAAUCUAAAUUUUCCAAAGGCAUAAAUGUGUGAAAAUUAAUUGAUGAAGAAUUUGUCCGGUGCAGUUUUUGUUUUUUAAUUGGUGGAACUUUAUCAUAGGAUCUCAAAUACCUUUAACCGCUGAGCACAUGCAAAAAAAACAAACAAACAAAAAUCAACACAAUUAGUCUAUGAGAUUCACUUAAUCCUUCUUAAAUGUGAGCAGGUUGAGCACCGAUGAAAGUCUGCACUUGUUGUCCAUGUUUCAUUGUGUGUACAAAUAUAUCUUCACUCUUCACACAUGCUGGUAACACUCACUAAACCUACACUGCUAAGUUGUGGUCUAAUUCCCAUGCUGCUAAGACACGUUCACCUUCCCAACCCUAUAAGAGGGCUUCUUGUCGUGGGCUCCAGGUGAGGUCCACUCAGUACCGUAGUUGUGUAUGUGUGUAUAUAAGUGUAACGGUAUCUCUUUGUUGUUGAGAGGAGAGGCCUUCUGACGCAACCAGUGUUAUUUUCCUGACUAUUGACUCAACAUCUGUCUCUGUUCUGAUCUUCGUGGGGCCUUCCUGGAGGCACUCGUGGUCUCUGCAGUUUAACUGACCUGCCUGUCAUGAUUGUGUGCUGUCAUUUAUGAAUGUUUGGUGAAACAGCAGCUGUAGGAAUUAUUCAACUACAUAUGAAAUGUAUGUAAACAAUGUCUGUUCAAAACAAAAAACUAAUCUGACUGAAUGUUAGUUUUGUGGGACCACCGAUCGGAACGUAGUCUCACACUAGAGCCCAGAGGACCGUGAAUGGCACAAAGACUGACGAGUACAUCAGUAAUGCUUUGGACUGAGCUUAUCCUUCAUACAGGUGGCAGGUCACGUUUAGUGGCCUUUGGUUAGUUUCUUUUCUUUGUUUUGUUUGUUAUGCCCUUCUUCUUCCCUGUACCCAUGGCGCACCCCCUCCUGUUUUAGGAGCCAUUCCCCAAUGGCGGACUCUGUAGCGAUUCUAAUGUCAGAUGCCUGGUCAGAAUAAAUGCCAUCUGUCAAAAACAA